rnacentral:misc_RNA from 1 species
GAUGAAGAACGUAGCGAAAUGUGAUAAGUAAUGUGAAUUGCAGAAUUCAGUGAAUCAUCGAGUCUUUGAACGCACAUUGCGCCCCCUGGUAUUCCGGGGGGCAUGCCUGUCCGAGCGUCAUUGCUGCCCUCAAGCACGGCUUGUGUGUUGGGCCCCCGCCCCCCGGCUUCGGGGGGCGGGCCCGAAAGGCAGCGGCGGCACCGCGUCCGGUCCUCGAGCGUAUGGGGCUUCGUCACCCGCUCUGUAGGCCCGGCCGGCGCCCGCCGGCGACCCCAAUCAAUCUUUCCAGGUUGACCUCGGAUCAGGUAGGGAUACCCGCUGAACUUAAGCAUAUCAAUAAGCGGAGGA